UAGCAUAUGCUUGUCUCAAAGAUUAAGCCAUGCAUGUCUAAGCAUAAAUAAUUUUAUGGUUGAAGCUGCGAAUGGCUCAUUAACCAGUUACAAUCUGCUCGGCGAAUACUCUAAUUGGAUAACCGUUGUAAUUCAAGAGCUAAUACAUGCUAAAAGUCCUGACGGUAGCAAUAUCGAAGGGACGGGUUUAUUAGGUCCAAAAUCAAUCUGGCCAUCCCAAACUGCGUCAGCAAUGGCGUGGGGCCAGGAUACUUGAUGAUUCAUAAUAACUAACCGAAGCGCAGGGCUCGUCCCGGCGCUGGCACGAAUGAGUUUCUGACCCAUCAACUAUGUUUGCAGUAUAGGGGACUGCAAAGGUCGUAACGGGUACGGGGAAUAAGGGUUCGGUUCCGGAGAGGGAGCCUGAGAAAUGGCUACCACUUCCAAGGAAGGCAGCAGGCGCGCAAAUUACCCAAUCCUGAUUCGGGGAGGUAGUGACAAGAAAUACCAUUGUAGGACGCUACGCGUACUACAUUUGGAAUGAGUACAAUUUAAACACCUUAGCGAGGAACAACUA
rnacentral:rRNA from 1 species